UGAAUAUCUUCAAAGGUACGUGGUUAAGCUUAAGCUGCAAAAGACAACAAACAACGUCGGCUACAUGCAUGCCAAGUAGAACGUAAGGUUUAUAGGGGUUGGUCAAAAAUUUAUGGAAAGGCUUUUUUUUGGCAAACUCGAUCGGCCUUCAAGUCUUCAUCUUCAAGAAAUCUUAUCCAUGAUCGAGAUACCCAUCCAUGCUGGGGCCAGGCCAGGGAACAUAGCUACUGUUGCUAUAUGUCUGUACUAUCACAAACUUUCACAACUAGGUUGGCGGCCCAACCUCCUGCUGCUGUUCAUGCUUCAUAUGAAUGAAUCCUACUUCAACAGCAAUCACAAAGGCGCCAUUUACAACAUCAACUGGAAUGGUUACUUUGCUUAGCUUGAUUGUGACAAACACCAACCAUCAAAUAUGUAAUGAAUCUUUUUUCCAGAGUAACAUGAUUCUGGUAAGUUGGAAGAAACUGAUGAAUGCAACUUUGGAAUAUAAUCAUAUGAAUGCAAGUGAUUAGCUCUAAAGAGACUGAUAUUUCAUAAAUGGUACCAAACUUGUGAGUUUCAAACUUUUGGAUUGAGUUAUGUUGAACAUAUUUGAUCUAUGCCUCCUUUGAGAAUCUUCAUGUGAUUAAGAUUUUGAAUUAGUAUUGAUUUCCAUAGGAUAUCUCACUAAGAGGAUCAUGUACACCAUACAAAGCAAGAGUCGUGUUACACAAAAACUCCGCACUCUACACACCACAACAUGUGAUUUUAUUUUUUUAUUCUCAUAUUUCAU